rnacentral:rRNA from 1 species
AGUGAACGCUGGCGGUAGGCCUAACACAUGCAAGUCGAACGGCAGCACAGUAAGAGCUUGCUCUUACGGGUGGCGAGUGGCGGAUGGGUGAGGAAUACAUCGGCAUCUACUUUUUCGUGGGGGCUAACGUAGGGAAACUUACGCUAAUACAGCAUACGCCCAACGGGUGAAAGCAGGGGAUCUUCGGACCUUGCGCGAUUGAAUGAGCCGAUGUCGGCUUAGCUAGUUGGCGGGGUAAAGGCCCACCAAGGCGACGAUCCGUAGCUGGUCUGAGAGGAUGAGCAGGCACACUGGAACUGAGACACGGUCCAGACUACUACGGGAGGCAGCAGUGGGGAAUAUUGGACAAUGGGCGCAAGCCUGACCCAGCCAUACCGCGCGGGUGAAGAAGGCCUUCGGGUUGGAAAGCCCUUUUGUUGGGAAAGAAAAGCAGCAGGUUAAUCCCCCGCUGUUCUGACGGUACCCAAAGAAUAAGCACCGGCUAACUUCGUG